rnacentral:lncRNA from 1 species
AAGAGAGGAGAAGAAAGAGAAACCAGGGGGGCGAGGCGCCGUCCAAUGACAAAGCCCAGGGGAGAGCUGCCCUGCCAAGCCCGCGGCGCCCGGGCCCUGCUUCGGGGGCCGCACCCUGGAGGAGAUCUGGAGGGCGGCCACCCCGACGCUGACCACCUUUCCCACCAUUCGCGUCGGCGGCGACGUGUGGGGCGAGCGCAGCCUGGCGGCGGCGCGGCGCCGGGCAAGCCAAGUCCUGCGAGUGAACCUGGAACCCGUGGUGAGGCUCCGCCGCUUCCCCGUGCCCCGGGCGUGAAACGCGGCCCGCGACGGCUUCCCGGCCAGGGACGGGGCUUCCGCCUGGAGGGAUGGACAAGUGUCAGUCGAGUGUUUACAGAUCCGGCCAGGACCCCGUCCCCUCGUGCACUUUACGGGCAAAGAAGUCACCGGAUGCUUUUCCCGGCCUCGCGGCGCCGCCGUCUGGGGCUCAGGGACAGGUGUGCCCUCCGCUGCCUCCUGGCGCCCGGGCUGCGGAGGAGGAGACAGCCGGACCCGCAGGGGAGGGCCCUAUGCUUCCUUACCCCGGACUGAGACAUCUCCAGGACUGGAGGGGCAGAUCCGUUUUCUCCCUUUGGACUCUACCUCACUGGUCUGGAAGUUCUCUGAAGAAGUCGUUAUUUUUCCAAAGGAAUUUGGUUUCGUGUUUGUGUAAUAAAGCCAGAAUCUACUUGCUUUCCCCCCAAAUCCUCCCCCCACCCCAUUUUUCUUUGCAACUGCCACCCCUCUUUCUGGACGAAAGAUUGAACCUGUUUUGUACUCAGGGUAUUCUGAAUCCCAUUCGUUUCCUAAUUUUAACCGGAUUCCAAAGCUCUGACCAAGGAUAUUUUUCUAAGAGAUUCAAGCUUAUGACUGUAAUAGUGCAAGGAUUUGUAUGCUUUGAAUUCCAUGGGCUCAGUGAUUACAAACAAAGAGAUGCAAAGUACAACUGUUUGAACAUUUUUGAGGUGUUCCUAAAGAUUUUAUAUUGAAAUUUAAUGUUUAUAUUUACUGAGCUCCUAAAUAAAAUGGUAUAAACUCAUAUGAAGUUCUGUUUAGGAAAAGCUGACUUGUUAAGAUUCUUUUUAAUUAAAUAAAAAUUAAAGUGCAUUGAAACCACAUGGCUUGUGAUAAAGAAAAAUUAGUUACAAAGAACUGGUGUUGGUUAAAGAGAUGGAUGGAAUCCUAUUGGAAAUGAUUUGGCUUCAUUGUACUGGUCUAACAUACAAAUCCAGGAAUAGUUGAAGGAUAACCUAUUUUAAAUUGCAAAUAGCAGAGAAGAAAUAAAUGUGUUCAAACUUUGUGAUUAAAAUGAUAAACAGAAUACCCAUUAGAAUUCUCAGAACUAUUAGUCAUCUAGAGGGGUGGGGGCAUUUCUUGGUAUCAAAUAACUGGUUGAAGUUACUUUGGGCAAAAUAGAUCUCUUUCUUUACUUUCUGUUGUUGGAUAGCAAGAAAUGCCCAGAAUAAUAUCCAUUAUUCUUAUAAACAUUAUGACAAUUAGUUGACUUUUGCUCCGUGAGUUAACUUUUUAAAAAAUCUUAAUUCCAUUUGUAAUUAUGUUUGUAGUUACCGGUCUUUGUUGACAGCUGAAGACCACAGGAAUCGUUGAUCAGGCGAGUCACACAGUACUGACCCUUCUUUUACACUUUUAUAAUAGCAUUUAUACCAUAUGGCCCAGUGUGGAAUUCUUGAUUAUCCAAGUGCCUUUGGUCAUUGGUGGCAGCAAGACUUAAUGGUUUUUAGCCAGUGGUGCCACAGCCAGAUUUUACUGCAAUAUCUAAAGGGUCAAGUAGUGUUUUGUACCACUAUUUUUCAAAUUUAAGUAUUCUGCCAUGGAAUGAUUCAUACUGGCUAGAACUUGACAUACGAUAUCCUUAAUAUUAAGGCUUAUCUCUGCUUGGCAGCUUCUUAGGAGAAUUAUUUUAAUAAGAGUUGCAAUUUUGACUCUUGCGAUCUUAGAAUUCAAAUGCUAUUGCUUUCUGAAUUGAAAAUUUCAACUUUAAUAGUCCAUAAGUAGGAGUUUUGUGACUUUAAUUUCAGUGUACUUGUUUUGUAAAGAAAAAAAAUUAUAUAUAUAAUAUGACUUUAUGCCAGUUUCCCAGUAUGCCUCGUAUUCUUUUAUUCACUACUCAAUGAAAAUGCAUUGUUACCGACACUGUCACACGAAUAAAUAAAAGUGGAUAAUUACUUAGAUGAUGAAGAGUGUUAAAUUAUAUCUUUGUGAAAGGAAGCUUAUAUAUAUUCUUUUGGUUAUUAGCUUCCAUUGCCAAUCGUAUUUCAGAUACAGUAGAGUUUUCUCCUCCCUCCCCCUGCUACUGAAUUGUUACCAUUUUUUUAGCAAACUAGCCCCUGAGGAAAAAAAUAUGUAUUUGUACCACUCACUAUUGUAUAUAGUUUUAUAAUAAAUUCAAUGGCCAUAUUAGAAUGUGAUUUCAACAUAUAGCUUAUCUAGAUAAUUUCACAGAGGAUUUUGAAAUUAGACCUAGCUGGGAGGAUAACUUUGCUCAGCACAAAACUGAAACAACUAUUGACACCAUGCAUUUUAACUGAGAUUCUUAACAUUUUUUCCUCAUGCCUUGUUACUUUAGUGCUCUUGAACUAGCAUAAAUGCUUCUUUGGAUUGUCUGGGCUAUCUGAUUUCAGUUUGGGUUGGAUUGCCCAUCUUGAAUUCAAUAUAUUAUUUAUCUGGUUUAUUUAAAAAUCAUGCCAUUUCUAGUUUGUGAAAUGAGAUGUAAAAAAAACUUUUAUUUUUGCCAAGUGUUCUUUAGCCAAACGUAUGUUACAUCUUCUAAAAUGUGAAGAAACAACUAAUAUAGGUGGUUGGUGUGUUAAUAGGAAAGUGAAAGUAUUCAUGGGUACAUUGGGCAGAAUGUGGAAAGGAACUUGGCAAGGUGGCCUUUCUGGUGAGGCAUCCAUUUCCUGUCCUCUAAAGUAAGUCUGUAGCUUAGCUUGUAUAUAGUUUUUUAAAAGACAUCCCAUGAUCUUUAUUCACUCUCUUAUAAGAUUAUCUUCUAUCUCGUAUGGCACAAAUAGGGAAGCUAGGAGGAAGUUUAUCACCUCACUAUGCUUUUAUUUAAUUUUUAACUCUUGAGUGCCUAAAUAUGGUGACUGGCACCUCAGCUAACUUUUUGAGAUUCCUGAUGUCAUUUUUAUCCUCCUUCCUGUCAACCAGCAACUUAUUUUUCCAUGCUGAAAUCAGUAAUGUCAUGAUUGUUGAGGGUAAGCUUUGUUGUUGAUAGUGCAAAGUGUUGCUGUUGUGGUGUGUAUUUAUUUUGUCAAAGUUUGAGUCCCCUGUUGGACACGUGUAACUAAGCUGGUGGCUGACACCUAUUGAUUUGCUACUUGCAAAUGAUACUACUAUUUUUCUGAAAACUCAUUCAGUUAAAAAAACAUCAAAAAUAUUUGAAUACAAAAAAAUGAGGUUUUGAAUUCAAAACUUUGUUGUUUUAAGGGUUGCCACAGCACUCUUUAAAUUGGUGGGUUUUGGUGGACAUAUAUACAUAAUAUUUACUUUAUUGGUGUGUUUGAAAUAUUUUUUGAUAGACUGUUAUGUCUUAAGUGCAUUUGAAGGCAAUUGUUUGUAAUGGAACCGAAUUGUUUCCUUGGACAGUUUGAUGUGCAUAUGAUUAAGAUUUAUAAUCUGGUUGUACUUUGCUUUUUAAUUUAUUAACUGUAAAUAAAUUUUAGAGAA